ensembl:lncRNA
UGGAGGUCUGCUCGCUCGGCGGCGGAGGGCCGGCCGUGGACAUGUGUCCUGUGAUGGUGGGGAGGAGGCAUCAGCUGACCUGUGGGAAAUUAACAGGGCUCUCUGUGGAGUUCUUUCCAUCCACAGUGAGUGGGGGAGCAGGCCGGGAUGGAGAAAGGGGCGACGUGGGCGUGCGGCGCUUCAUGGAGGUGGACAGCGUUGCUCUGACCCCGAGAUAGAGAUCCCAGGAGCCAGACACCGGGCCACUGCACACAGGCACGCACGGACAUCACAGGACAUGACGCACAACACACACACACACACACACACACACACUCGCAGGCAACAGCAGAGCAAAUGUGAAAGAUUAAAUUAGUAAAUGGAACAUUUGGAAUCCCGCUUGAAGAUUAAGCAACAAUUUAUCCACAAAGAAUGAAGCCACAUUGUCAAACAUUUGGCCUGUGAACAACCUGCUUAAUCUUCUGCAAGUUAUCAGCCGUUAGGAGAAGAGACAAAGACUGGAAAAAGAACAGUCACUGGCCUUUCCUACGUUUUCUAAUUGUACCCUUUUUCCCAAACCCACAUCUGCGCUCAUACUGUACUCACUAGGAUAUGUCACUCAGUUCUCAUUGUGUAUCCUGUGUGUGUAUCCGGUGUGUUCCCUGCCCAUGCUUCCCUGCAGGUAUGCAGCAUGUGUGGGUGUGUGUUCAAAACAGUCCCAGAAUACAAGUUUGCUGGAAGUAGAGCAAUCAAGAAGAGAAACAAUACAAACAGAUGGAGCCAUCUCUUCGAACCCCACACACACACACACACACACACACACACACACAUAAAGAAAGAGACAGACACCACACCACACACAGAUGUCCAUAGUUUCAAAGGUUGCUAUCAAAGCAUCCACUGGCACCAUGCUCCCACAUUAACAAGGCAGAUGGUCUUAAACUGUUUAGUUUCUUAGACUGAAGAAACACCCACACACAUUUGCACCAGGUAUUGUGGCGUGUGUAGAGUGUCCAUAUGCUGCACUUCCUCUCCAGUGAAAGAGAGCAGUGCCACCUCUCCGGAAGAGGCUGUUUUUAUAAUUAAAGGGAGAAUCUCUUUCCAUCUGACUGCAACAGAGAUGAAAACAAUCGGCUCAACAAGAACAUUUAUAGGGACAAGUUUAUAGGGAAGAUUGGUACGUACGAACUGUAACAUUUAUUGUUUGUGUGUGUUUACCGGAUGCACAUGUCUACAUCUUUUACCUCUGAUGGCUGAACGUGAAACUGUGAAAAAUAUUCAAAUUAUACUUUUAUUUGUGCCAAAAAAUGAUGGUUUGAAGUUGAGUGAGAACGCUCUGUACCUUCUUACCGUUCUUACACCUUUUUAGAUCUUUGCAGCACAAUUGACCUGGUACACUUAUUGUGAACAACAAUUUUAGAAGCUACUACCGAGGGGAAAUGUUGUUGUUUGCAGUGGUUCCUGCAAGCCACAACAAUGUUUCAGGGUUCAGGUCGGGUUCUGGUUUGUUGUCAUUCAAUUUUUACCUUGUGCCAGAUUAUUCAAAUGAAUUGUCCUGUAUCAAAGUUAUGCAUUUCAAAAUGGGACUGGACAAAUUGCAAUGUUGUGUAUUCUGAAGUGGAAUCUUUCCCAUUGUUGUUGGACCCGAAUGUGUCAAACACCUUUGCAAUUGGAAUCUGC